rnacentral:lncRNA from 1 species
UGAUGGGAGGAGGAUUCUCUUCCCAGGACCAGCGCUUGCCUGGCUGCAGUGUGGCCACAAACCCAGGAACGCCUUGCUCAGCCCCAGUGGAGACAGACAGCGCUAAACCCCGGGGCUGGCUCUGGGAAAUGUGUUGCUCUGUGCUUUUUGCACCGAAUUCCCAGUGUGAACAGCUCUGCUCCCACAAUAAGCUCCUGGAGGUUUAGGGUGGCUCCAGCCUUUUGGGGAGAGCGGAGGCUCUCCGGGCGUGUUCACAAGGGAAUAUUGACGUUUGGGACCAAGGGAUGGAAAACUGGGCUGUGAGCUGCUGGAGCUGUUAUCAAGGAUAUUUAUCCCAGCAACUUUCCCCUGCAGGACUUCUCAAGGUUGUCCUUCUUUUUCUCCAUUCCCACUGUUCCCUCUGCUCCACGAAGUUGCCUGGGGCCUGCCAAGGUGCCAGGCACAGAUCCAUCCCUCUGGAGUGCCCCAGCUGAGCAGGAAGAGUGGUGUGGAGGCAGCAGAUUCCUUUGGGAUCGCUGGGAUUUGGCUCAGCCCCGCGUGGCUGUGCCAGCCCAGCUGCACAGAGGCUGCAUCUGCAGGGAUCUCACAUCUGGGAUAACCUGGCUCAGGAAUCAGGCAGGUUGGAUUGUCCUGGCUCUAUUCCUUCCCAGGCACAGCCCUGACUCUUCCUGGCUUUGUGGGGAAGACAUUUCACCUUUCUUUGGGAGCCCUUUCCAUGGAGCCCAGCACAGAUCCAGCCCAUUUUGCCACGGAUCCUUUUUUCUUCCCAAGCUUGCUCCAGCUGUGAGCAGCUGCAGUGCUGGCUCUCAUCCCUCCAGCUGCCCUCCCCAAAGUCACAUCCCCUCACAGAUCCCAUUUCCCACCUGAUUGCCACAUUUAUCACACCUUUUUCUGCCAGAACCACAGGGGC